GUCCAGGAGAAGAAAUAGUUGUGGAACCUGUUCUUGUUUGUGGCAAAGACAAAAGGAUUCGAGAAGAUGAUGACAAGUUUAUUACCACUGGAUUUUAUGUUAGUAUGGGGCUGGGUUUCACGUUUGGGUUUUGGACAGUUUUUGGGACCAUGAUUUUUAACAAACCAUCUAGACACUUAUUUUGAGUUCUUGGACAUCAUAAAGAGUUGGUUUUAUGUAACAACUUCAUUGAAUAUGGUUAGAUUGCAAAGGAAUUUUCAGAGGUAAAUGGUCUAUGUUGCUAUCUUCAGCCCAUUGGUCUCAAGAUCUAUCUAUAUGGAAGUUAUGCUACACCUGAGUGAGACACGAGCAGCGAGUUCAGAGUAUAUGAAGCAAAGCUAUCAGCACCAACCGUUCUCUAUGUAUUCUUGAAACGUUGAAAUAACUUCAUAAAUAGUUAUUUUCAUUUGUAAUUAUGCUG